AAGAGUUAAGCCUGUCAUGUUCUUCGCCUCCAUCUCUUUCUUUGUUUCUCUGUCCUUCUCACGGAUGCCCGUAAUCUCCUUCUCCUCGCAUCUCCUUUUCUUUUCUCCUCCGCAUCUCCUUUUCUUUUCUCCUCGCAUCUUCUUCUCUCCCCUCCUUAUUCUUUGAGCUUCUAUGGCGAUGGUGUUAAUGAUGGUGGCGGUGUGGACGAUGGUGGUGCUUGUGGCGCUUCAAUUUCAAGGUUAUGGUUAUGGUUCUGAUUUUGGUUUUCUUGAGAGCUGAUGCCUGAUGAGUGAUGAGUUGAUGACCAUGAUCCAGGAAGUGGUUAUUGAGCAUUGUAUAGGGAGGCAGAACUAGUAGUGUAAGUAAGGACAUUUUACUAAAAGUUGCUAUUCUUGCUACUUACUUUUGUUCCGUUCUUCCAUGUGCUUAACAUGUAAAUAUGUAACUAGAAGCUGUAGGAACUUUGAAAAAGUACCUACAUUUCUUGGCUUUGUCCUAGUAUAUUUAUAAUACUGGAAACUAUUAUGUCCAUUUGUGAUAAUAUUGUAAUAUUGCAGAAUACAUUGAAGCUAAUGACUAUCUGCGUGUUUGAAUAGAAUUAAUGUGUUCAUAAUUUUA